GCCGGAGUGGCGGAAUUGGCAGACGCGGCGGAUUCAAAAUCCGCUGGGGUAACACCCUUGAGGGUUCGAGUCCCUCCUCCGGUA
rnacentral:tRNA from 1 species